GCCAAAACAACAAUCUUAUGGCUAAUUACAGUUAAUUCUGAAGUAAUCCAUACAAUCUUCAAAUUGUAAGCCUCCUCAUAACCGAAGGAAACAUGAAAAAUCAGCUCAAUUAGAUGUUAAUUGACAUCUUGGUUUGUGUUGUGUGUAUAAAGGAAUCCAAAUGCAGAAGAGUGAAUGAGAGACUUGAGAGGGGCAAAAGCCAAGUAUUCCUAGAAGAAACCCAUAUCAAGGAG
rnacentral:misc_RNA from 1 species